AUUACUUACCACAAAACUAAAAUCAUAAUCCUCAAAAAGGCUCUGCUGGUGAGGUUGAUGCACAGAGAAGUGGAGACAUUGGCAUGUGUUUGAAGCUCCACUACAAAAAUAGAGCCUAAGAAUUGAGCAAUUCAUGGCUUAUUACACUGCAGCAACAAGAGACAUCAAGCAUGUGCCCGUAUGAGCAUUGUCUGUGGAGAAGAAGACGAAUAUAAGCUGAAACUACAGAGUUGGUUAGACUUACAAAUACCACCCAAGUAAAGUCUGAUAUAGCAGAUGCUCUAUAUGGUGCUACUGUAAUGCAACACAUACAAGAAAAAUCCAUCACUUCAAAAAGACUGAAACUGUACAAGUAUCUCAAUGCUUUCAAUCCAUUGGCAUAUGUCACA